rnacentral:rRNA from 1 species
GAUGAACGCUGGCGGCGUGCCUAAUACAUGCAAGUCGAGCGAACGGACGAGAAGCUUGCUGCUCUGAUGUUAGCGGCGGACGGGUGAGUAACGCGUGGAUCACCUACCUAUAAGACUGGGAUCACUUCGGGAAACCGGAGCUAAUACCGUAUAAUAUUUUGAACCGCAUGGUUCAAUAGUGAAAGACGGUCUUUCUGUCACUUAUAGAUGCAUCUGGGCUGCAUUAGCUAGUUGGUAGGGUAACGGCGUACCAAGGCAACGAUGCAUAGCCGACCUGUGAGAGUGAUCGGCGACACUGGAACUGAGACACGGACCAGACUCCUAAGGGAGGCAGCAGUAGGGAAUCGGACGCAAUGGGGGAAAGCCUGACGGAGCGACGCGGCGUGAGUGAUGAAGGUCUUCGGAUCGUAAAACUGGGUUAUUAGGGAAGAACAUAUGUGUAAGUAACUGUGCAGAUCUUGACGGUACCUAAUCAGAAAGCCACGGCUAACUACGUG